GAUGAACGCUGGCGGCGUGCCUAAUACAUGCAAGUCGAGCGAACGGACGAGAAGCUUGCUUCUCUGAUGUUAGCGGCGGACGGGUGAGUAACACGUGGAUAACCUACCUAUAAGACUGGGAUAACUUCGGGAAACCGGAGCUAAUACCGGAUGAUAUUUUGAACCGCAUGGUUCAAAAGUGAAAGACGGUCUUGCUGUCACUUAUAGAUGGAUCCGCGCUGCAUUAGCUAGUCGGUAAGGUAACGGCUUACCAAGGCAACGAUGCAUAGCCGACCUGAGAGGGUGAUGGGCCACACUGGAACGGAAACAGGGUCCAGACUCCUACGGGAGGCAGCAGUAGGGAAUCUUCCGCAAUGGGCGAAAGCCUGACGGAGCAACGCCGCGUGAGUGAUGAAGGUCUUCGGAUCGUAAAACUCUGUUAUUAGGGAAGAACAUAUGUGUAAGUAACUGUGCACAUCUUGACGGUACCUAAUCAGAAAGCCACGGCUAACUACGUG
rnacentral:rRNA from 1 species